rnacentral:tRNA from 1 species
CCCGGGCCGCCGGAGCUGCCCGCGGCCGCCGGCCCGGUCGGCGCCAGCCGGGUGGUCCGCCGGCACCGGCUGUUCGACGCCGCCGCCCGGGCC